CGGGAAAAGCUCAAAUUUAAAAUCUGGCAGUCUUUGGCUGUCCGAGUUGUAAUUUAGAGAAGUGUUACCCGUGCUGGACCGUGCACAAGUCUCCUGGAACGGAGCGUCAUAGAGGGUGAGAAUCCCGUCUUUGGCACGGACACACCAGGGCUUUUGUGAUGCGCUCUCGAA
rnacentral:rRNA from 1 species